rnacentral:misc_RNA from 1 species
GUGAAUCAUCAAAUUUUGAACGCAUAUUGCACCAUCUGGUAUUCCGGAGAGUAUGCCUAUUUGAGGGUCAUUUGAAAAUAAUAUAAAUUUCGAGAUUUUCUUGAAAUCAAAAAUGGGUCGGUCCAGCUUUCGUUUGGUGGUCGCCUAAAAUGCAAGAAAAGCUCAUUUCUUGGUUUGCGUGUUCCUUUCGGUUACUUCGGGCCUUCACAGGAAUUCUUCGAG